rnacentral:rRNA from 1 species
UCGUAACAAGGUUUCCGUAGGUGAACCUGCGGAAGGAUCAUUAACGGGGCUUUCGCGUCGUCACGGAGCCGAGGCCGUUGUCGGAAAACGACAAAAGGCCGAGGUCCCUUUUACGGUCUCCCACGUCACGAACCGGGGGGCGAGGGGGAAAAAAAAAGAAGGAGAAAAGGGAGCGGUGAAAAAAAGAAAACCGACGAGGAAAAAAGGGGAUCGUAAAAUGAUCAGGGCCGAGGGUACCUACCGCUCGGCCUGGCGUUACGCGGAAAAAGAGACUCUCUCCGUCCUCUCUCUCCGUGCGGGCGCCAGGCGAAAACAAGAGCGAGAGGUUCGAUGACCCACCUGGGAUUCCGCCCCUUCCCCGGGGGGGUUCCCUGUCUUGUGGGCGCCCUCCCCUGAACGUCCCCGAUCCUCAAACGUUUUCUUUUCCCCUCACCCGCCCUUUCCCCCCUCACACAGUCGGUUCCGUCCACCUUCUUUUUCUCCCCCCCCCCGGCCGAAGUUUUCGAAACCGGUGGUCCUUUGUUUUCUGACAAAAACGAAAAAAAAAAAAAAUAAAAGAGCUGACAACUCUUAGCGGUGGAUCACUCGGCUCGUGCGUCGAUGAAGAACGCAGCCAGCUGCGAGAACUAAUGUGAAUUGCAGGACACAUUGAUCAUCGACACUUCGAACGCACAUUGCGGCCCCGGGUCCCUCCCGGGGCUACGCCUGUCUGAGGGUCGCUUUCCCCUUCGAUCGGACGUCCUCGGCGUCCGCGGCUGGAGGCCUCGCAUGCGCGCCCGUGCGCCUCCGUCCUCCCAAGAGCAGACGCGCCCUCCUUGUCCUCCUCCUCCUCUAGCCCGAAAGCGGCGCGCCGAAACUCUUUUUCCCCCCCCCCCCUUUUCGUGAUAAACGAAUCGAGCGGCUGCCGGUGGGCUUCUUUCCACUCUGGCUGCCCGCUCGAGAGGGGAUGAUGAUAAAAAAGAGAGAAAAGCGCGCCGUGUCCAAGUAAGGCUGGGAAGAGAGAGACGGACGAGAGAGGGCGCGGGCGCUUUGCGCCCUCGUGUUUUCCCAUCUCUCACGCGACCUCAGAUCAGACGAGACGACCCGCUGAAUUUAAGCAUAUUACUAAGCGGAGGAAAAGAAACUAACCAGGAUUCCCUCAGUAGCGGCGAGCGAAGAGGGAAGAGCCCAGCGCCGAAUCCCCCGUCCCCUUCCGCGGGCGCGGGGAAAUGUGGCGUACGGAAGUCCGCAUCGCCCGGCGCGGGCCGGGGGCCUGAGUCCUUCUGAUGGAGGCUCAGCCCGUGGACGGUGUGAGGCCGGUAACGGCCCCCGCCUCGCCGGGGCGCGGACUUCUCGGAGUCGGGUUGUUUGGGAAUGCAGCCCAAAGCGGGUGGUAAACUCCAUCUAAGGCUAAAUA